rnacentral:rRNA from 1 species
UGAAAUAGGCAAAUCCGUUUCCCAUAAGGCUGAGCUGUGAUGGCGAGCGAAAUAUAGUAGCGAAGUUCCUGAUUCCACUGCCAAGAAAAGCCUCUAGCGAGGUGAGAGGUGCCCGUACCGCAAACCGACACAGGUAGGCGAGGAGAGAAUCCUAAGGUGAUCGAGAGAACUCUCGUUAAGGAACUCGGCAAAAUGACCCCGUAACUUCGGGAGAAGGGGUGCUCUGUUAGGGUGCAAGCCCGAGAGAGCCGCAGUGAAUAGGCCCAGGCGACUGUUUAGCAAAAAACACAGGUCUCUGCGAAGCCGUAAGGCGAAGUAUAGGGGCUGACGCCUGCCCGGUGCUGGAAGGUUAAGAGGAGCGCUUAGCGUAAGCGAAGGUGCGAAUUGAAGCCCCAGUAAACGGCGGCCGUAACAAUAACGGUCCUAAGGUAGCGAAAUUCCUUGUCGGGUAAGUUCCGACCCGCACGAAAGGCGCAACGAUCUGGGCACUGUCUCAACGAGAGACUCGGUGAAAUUAUAGUACCUGUGAAGAUGCAGGUUACCCGCGACAGGACGGAAAGACCCCGUGGAGCUUUACUGCAGCCUGAUAUUGAAUGUUGGUACAGCUUGUACAGGAUAGGUAGGAGCCUUGGAAACCGGAGCGCCAGCUUCGGUGGAGGCAUCGGUGGGAUACUACCCUGGCUGUAUUGACCUUCUAACCCGCCGCCCUUAUCGGGCGGGGAGACAGUGUCAGGUGGGCAGUUUGACUGGGGCGGUCGCCUCCUAAAAGGUAACGGAGGCGCCCAAAGGUUCCCUCAGAAUGGUUGGAAAUCAUUCGCAGAGUGUAAAGGCACAAGGGAGCUUGACUGCGAGACCUACAAGUCGAGCAGGGACGAAAGUCGGGCUUAGUGAUCCGGUGGUUCCGCAUGGAAGGGCCAUCGCUCAACGGAUAAAAGCUACCCCGGGGAUAACAGGCUUAUCUCCCCCAAGAGUCCACAUCGACGGGGAGGUUUGGCACCUCGAUGUCGGCUCAUCGCAUCCUGGGGCUGUAGUCGGUCCCAAGGGUUGGGCUGUUCGCCCAUUAAAGCGGUACGCGAGCUGGGUUCAGGACGUCGUGAGACAGUUCGGUCCCUAUCCGUCGCGGGCGCAGGAAAUUUGAGAGGAGCUGCCCUUAGUACGAGAGGACCGGGAUGGACGCACCGCUGGUGUACCAGUUGUUCUGCCAAGGGCAUCGCUGGGUAGCUAUGUGCGGACGGGAUAAGUGCUGAAAGCAUCUAAGCAUGAAGCCCCCCUCAAGAUGAGAUUUCCCAUUCCGCAAGGAAGUAAGAUCCCUGAAAGAUGAUCAGGUUGAUAGGUCUGAGGUGGAAGUGUGGCGACACAUGGAGCUGACAGAUACUAAUCGAUCGAGGACUUAAUC